UACGAAGGGGGCUAGCGUUGCUCGGAAUCACUGGGCGUAAAGCGCACGUAGGCGGACUCUUAAGUCAGGGGUGAAAUCCUGGGGCUCAACUCCAGAACUGCCUUUGAUACUGGGAGCCUUGAGUUCGGGAGAGGUGAGUGGAACUGCGAGUGUAGAGGUGAAAUUCGUAGAUAUUCGCAAGAACACCAGUGGCGAAGGCGGCUCACUGGCCCGAUACUGACGCUGAGGUGCGAAAGCGUGGGGAGCAAACAGG
rnacentral:rRNA from 1 species